rnacentral:rRNA from 1 species
UACGUAGGUGGCAAGCGUUGUCCGGAAUUAUUGGGCGUAAAGCGCGCGCAGGCGGUCCUUUAAGUCUGAUGUGAAAGCCCACGGCUCAACCGUGGAGGGUCAUUGGAAACUGGAGGACUUGAGUACAGAAGAGGAAAGCGGAAUUCCACGUGUAGCGGUGAAAUGCGUAGAGAUGUGGAGGAACACCAGUGGCGAAGGCGCUUUCUGGUCUGUAACUGACGCUGAGGCGCGAAAGCGUGGGGAGCAAACAGG